ACGACCAUACCUGCGAGAAAAUACGGGAUCCCGUCCGCUCUCCCAUCGUCAAGCUCGCAAGGGGUGGAUUAGUAGUUGGGUCGGUGACGACCAGCGAAUACCCGCUGUUGUAUGUU
rnacentral:rRNA from 4 species